rnacentral:rRNA from 1 species
CUUAUUGAGAGUUUGAUCCUGGCUCAGGAUGAACGCUGGCGGCGUGGAUAAGGCAUGCAAGUCAUACGGUCCCGCACCCUUUAGCAAUAAAAGGUGCGGGAUAGUGGCAGACGGGGUAGUAACACGUAGGAACUCACCCCAGAGACGGGCAUAACUCCGCGAAAGCGGAGCUAAUUCCCGAUAGUAUCGUGAGAUUAAAACACUUAGAUUGGCUCUGGGAGAGGCCUGCGGGCUAUCAGCUUGUUGGCGGGGUAAUGGCCCACCAAGGCGACGACGGCUAGGGGGAGUGAGAGCUUGGCCCCCACCAAUGGAACUGAGAACGGUCCAUACACCUACGGGUGGCAGCAGCCGAGAAUAUUCGACAAUGGGCGAAAGCCUGAUCGAGCGACGCCGCGUGCAGGAGGAAGCCCUUCGGGGCGUAAACUGCUUUUUUAAGGGAGGAAAAAAAUGACUGUACCCUAAGAAUAAGGGCUUGCUAACCUCGUGCCAGCAGCCGCGGUAAUACGAGGAGCCCGAGCGUUAUCCGGAUUUACUGGGCGUAAAGGGUGUGUAGGGGGUUUUGUUAGUCCCGUUUUAAAAACUCCGGCUUAACCGGAGAGAUGGGCGGGAAACGGCAAAACUAGGAGGAUGCCAGAGGCAAGCGGAACUCACGGUGUAGGGGUGAAAUCCGUUGAUAUCGUGGGGAACACCAAAGGCGAAGGCAGCUUGCUGGGGCAUUCCUGACCCUGAAACACGAAAGCGUGGGGAUCAAAAAGGAUUAACAAAUGCUGUUUACAAGGCAGCUUAGUCCCCUCGGAAUAAAUUCCGAGGAUAAAAAACUUGGUCCGACGCACUAUUUAUUUUAAUAGUGAAGUCGGACUCCGACAAAACCGAGAGGUUUUCGUCGGAGCUAUAUCGGGGAAACCCCUCCGGCCGAAGCGUCGGAGGACAAUCCCGAGGGAAGUCCGCUGUCCGACACUUAGUUUCGGACAUGACCCCGUAGAGACUAUACGCCGAGGUCGCCGAAAAGGCGACAUGAUAUAGUCCGAACUGCAUAGCGAUAUGCAGAAGCAGAUAGAAAUAUUCUGCUCACUCAAGAAAAAAUCGGUGCUAAUUUUUGGAAAUAAAAAAGAGGGAAUAGCGUUUAAUUCCAUUCCCUCUUAUCGCUUGAUCCUCGGUUCUACCGGAGCAAAAGAUAAACCUGACCAAGCAAAGACGCAAGGAGCAUCCACGCGAGGAACUCUUUGUAGACAAGUCGGGCUAAACCUUGCGGCCCGGUUUUCUCACAAAUCCAUACAAGCAUAAAUCACCUCCAUAUCAAGCAUAGCAUAUAAAAAUUUAUUUGUCAAGCACCAAUCUUGACUCCAAAAAUUAGCACCGAUUAGUAAAAUUGAGUUGUAACAAAUUUGUAGAUACCCUUGUAGUCCACGCCCUAAACGAUGAUGACUAGCCAUUGGAAGUAUCGACCCUUCGAGUGGCGAAGCUAACGCGUUAAGUCAUCCGCCUGGGAAGUACGAACGCAAGUUUAAAACUCAAAGGAAUAGACGGGGACUCGCACAAGCGGUGGAGCAUGUGGUUCAAUUCGAUGUUAAACGAAAAACCUCACCAGGGCUUGAAAUCCCGACGAUAAGCCCGCCGAAAGGCGUGCGUCUCACAAGGACGUCGGGACAGGUGCUGCAUGGCUGUCGUCAGUUCGUGGCUUGAGCUGUUCCCUUAAGUGGGGCAACGAACGCAACCCCUAUUUUGUGUUACAAGUGUCACAAGAGACUGCCCCGCACCGCGGGGAGGAAGGCGGGGAUGACGCCAAGUCAGCAUGGCCCUUUGAUGCCCUGGGCUACACACGUGCUACAAUGCCGUCCACAAUGAGUCGCGAAGCCGCGAGGCGGAGCUAAUCUCACCAAAGGCCGGCCCAGUUCGGAUUGCGCUCUGCAACUCGAGCGCAUGAAGACGGAAUCGCUAGUAAUCGCAGGUCAGCUAUACUGCGGUGAAUACGUUCUCGAGUCUUGUACUCACCGCCCGUCAACUCAAGGAAGUCCCGCCGACCCAAAAGUCCCGCUUAGCGGGGAAUAAGGAUGGCGGGAUGACAGGGAGUAAGUCGUAACAAGGCACGGCUAGCGGAAGCUGGUCGUGGAGUUUCAAUUUU